UGACACCUGCCACCCAGCCCAA
rnacentral:miRNA from 2 species